rnacentral:rRNA from 1 species
CCUUGACAUCCUGUGCUACUACAGAGAUGGUACGUUCCUUGGGACGAGGUUACAGGUGCUGCAUGGCUGUCGUCAGCUCGUGUCGUGAGAUGUGGUUAAGUCCGGCAACGAGCGCAACCCACAUCUUUAGUUGCCAGCAGGUUAAGCUGGGCACUCUAGAGAAACUGCCCGUGAUAAGCGGGAGGAAGGUGUGGAUGACGUCAAGUCCUCAUGGCCCUUACGGGUUGGGCUACACACGUGCUACAAUGGCAGUGACAAUGGGUUAAUCCCAAAAAGCUGUCUCAGUUCGGAUUGGGGUCUGCAACUCGACCCCAUGAAGUCGGAAUCGCUAGUAAUCGCGUAACAGCAUGACGCGGUGAAUACGUUCCCGGGCCUU